UACGUAGGGUGCGAGCGUUAAUCGGAAUUACUGGGCGUAAAGUGUGCGCAGGCGGUUAUGCAAGACAGAGGUGAAAUCCCCGGGCUCAACCUGGGAACUGCCUUUGUGACUGCAUAGCUAGAGUACGGUAGAGGGGGAUGGAAUUCCGCGUGUAGCAGUGAAAUGCGUAGAUAUGCGGAGGAACACCGAUGGCGAAGGCAAUCCCCUGGACCUGUACUGACGCUCAUGCACGAAAGCGUGGGGAGCAAACAGG
rnacentral:rRNA from 1 species